rnacentral:rRNA from 1 species
UGGCGGACGGGUGAGUAAUGUCUGGGAAACUGCCCGAUGGAGGGGGAGUAACUACUGGAAACGGUAGCUAAUACCGCAUAACGUCGCAAGACCAAANAGGGGGACCUUCGGGCCUCUUGCCAUCGGAUGUGCCCAGAUGGGAUUAGCUAGUAGGUGGGGUAAAGGCUCACCUAGGCGACGAUCCCUAGCUGGUCUGAGAGGAUGACCAGCCACACUGGAACUGAGACACGGUCCAGACUCCUACGGGAGGCAGCAUG